UGGGGAAUCUUGCACAAUGGGGGCAACCCUGAUGCAGCGACGCCGCGUGAGCGAUGAAGCCCUUCGGGGUGUAAAGCUCUUUCGGCAGGGACGAUAAUGACGGUACCUGCAGAAGCAGCUGCGGCUAACUACGUGCCAGCAGCCGCGGUAAUACGUAGGCAGCGAGCGUUGUUCGGAGUUACUGGGCGUAAAGGGUGUGUAGGCGGUUUUCUAAGUUUGGUGUGAAAUCUCCCGGCUCAACCGGGAGGGUGCGCCGAAAACUGGGAGACUAGAGUGCGGGAUGGGAGAGUAGAAUUCCUGGUGUAGCGGUGAAAUGCGUAGAUAUCAGGAGGAAUACCGGUGGUGUAGACGGCUCUCUGGACCGCCACUGACGCUGAGACACGAAAGCGUGGGUAGCAAACAGGAUUAGAUACCCCCGUAGUCC
rnacentral:rRNA from 1 species